rnacentral:rRNA from 1 species
GACGAACGCUGGCGGCGUGCUUAACACAUGCAAGUCGAACGGAAAGGCCCUGCUUUUGUGGGGUGCUCGAGUGGCGAACGGGUGAGUAACACGUGAGUAACCUGCCCUUGACUUUGGGAUAACUUCAGGAAACUGGGGCUAAUACCGGAUAGGAGCUCCUGCUGCAUGGUGGGGGUUGGAAAGUUUCGGCGGUUGGGGAUGGACUCGCGGCUUAUCAGCUUGUUGGUGGGGUAGUGGCUUACCAAGGCUUUGACGGGUAGCCGGCCUGAGAGGGUGACCGGCCACAUUGGGACUGAGAUACGGCCCAGACUCCUACGGGAGGCAGCAGUGGGGAAUAUUGCACAAUGGGCGGAAGCCUGAUGCAGCAACGCCGCGUGCGGGAUGACGGCCUUCGGGUUGUAAACCGCUUUCGCCUGUGACGAAGCGUGAGUGACGGUAAUGGGUAAAGAAGCACCGGCUAACUACGUGCCAGCAGCCGCGGUGAUACGUAGGGUGCGAGCGUUGUCCGGAUUUAUUGGGCGUAAAGGGCUCGUAGGUGGUUGAUCGCGUCGGAAGUGUAAUCUUGGGGCUUAACCCUGAGCGUGCUUUCGAUACGGGUUGACUUGAGGAAGUUAGGGGAGAAUGGAAUUCCUGGUGGAGCGGUGGAAUGCGCAGAUAUCAGGAGGAACACCAGUGGCGAAGGCGGUUCUCUGGGCCUUUCCUGACGCUGAGGAGCGAAAGCGUGGGGAGCGAACAGGCUUAGAUACCCUGGUAGUCCACGCUGUAAACGGUGGGUACUAGGUGUGGGGUCCAUUCCACGGGUUCCGUGCCGUAGCUAACGCUUUAAGUACCCCGCCUGGGGAGUACGGCCGCAAGGCUAAAACUCAAAGGAAUUGACGGGGCCCCGCACAAGCGGCGGAGCAUGCGGAUUAAUUCGAUGCAACGCGUAGAACCUUACCUGGGUUUGACAUGGAUCGGGAGUGCUCAGAGAUGGGUGUGCCUCUUUUGGGGUCGGUUCACAGGUGGUGCAUGGCUGUCGUCAGCUCGUGUCGUGAGAUGUUGGGUUAAGUCCCGCAACGAGCGCAACCCUUGUUCACUGUUGCCAGCACGUUAUGGUGGGGACUCAGUGGAGACCGCCGGGGUCAACUCGGAGGAAGGUGGGGAUGACGUCAAGUCAUCAUGCCCCUUAUGUCCAGGGCUUCACGCAUGCUACAAUGGCUGGUACAGAGAGUGGCGAGCCUGUGAGGGUGAGCGAAUCUCGGAAAGCCGGUCUCAGUUCGGAUUGGGGUCUGCAACUCGACCUCAUGAAGUCGGAGUCGCUAGUAAUCGCAGAUCAGCAACGCUGCGGUGAAUACGUUCCCGGGGCU